UACGGGGGGGGCAAGCGUUGUUCGGAAUUACUGGGCGUAAAGGGCUCGUAGGUGGCCAACUAAGUCGGACGUGAAAUCCCUCGGCUUAACCGGGGAACUGCAUCCGAUACUGGAUGGCUUGAGUUCGGGAGAGGGAUGUGGAAUUCCAGGUGUAGCGGUGAAAUGCGUAGAUAUCUGGAGGAACACCGGUGGCGAAGGCGGCAUCCUGGACCGACACUGACACUGAGGAGCGAAGCCAGGGA
rnacentral:rRNA from 1 species